rnacentral:rRNA from 1 species
CCUACGGGAGGCAGCAGUGGGGAAUAUUGGGCAAUGGAGGAAACUCUGACCCAGCGACGCCGCGUGAGGGAUGAAGGCCUUCGGGUUGUAAACCUCUUUCAGUAGGGAAGAAGCGAAAGUGACGGUACCUACAGAAGAAGCACCGGCUAACUAUGUGCCAGCAGCCGCGGUAAUACAUAGGGUGCAAGCGUUGUCCGGAAUUAUUGGGCGUAAAGAGCUCGUAGGUGGUUCGAUACGUCGGAUGUGAAAAUCAGGGGCUCAACCCCUGACCUGCAUCCGAUACGGUCGAGCUAGAGUUUGGUAGGGGAGACUGGAAUUCCUGGUGUAGCGGUGGAAUGCGCAGAUAUCAGGAGGAACACCGAUGGCGAAGGCAGGUCUCUGGGCCAAUACUGACACUGAGGAGCGAAAGCGUGGGGAGCGAACAGGAUUAGAUACCCUGGUAGUCCACGCCGUAAACGGUGGGCGCUAGUUGUGCGAACCUUCCACGGUUUGUGCGACGCAGCUACGACAUAGACGCCCGCCGUCGGGAGGUACGAGCGCGAGAUAAACUACAAGAAGUAGAGNGNGNGAGACGCGACGACGACGACGACGGAGGAGG